rnacentral:rRNA from 1 species
UUGACAUGUCAAGAAUUUUGCAGAGAUGUAGAAAGUGCUCGAAAGAGAACUUGAACACAGGUGCUGCAUGGCCGUCGUCAGCUCGUGUCGUGAGAUGUUGGGUUAAGUCCCGCAACGAGCGCAACCCUUGUCAUUAGUUGCUACCGCAAGGAGCACUCUAAUGAGACUGCCGGUGACAAACCGGAGGAAGGUGGGGAUGACGUCAGGUCCUCAUGGCCCUUAUGGGUAGGGCUACACACGUCAUACAAUGGCCGGUACAGAGGGCUGCCAACCCGCGAGGGGGAGCCAAUCCCAGAAAACCGGUCGUAGUCCGGAUCGUAGUCUGCAACUCGACUGCGUGAAGUCGGAAUCGCUAGUAAUCGCGGAUCAGCACGCCGCGGUGAAUACGUUCCCGGGCCUU